CCAACAUGGGCAUCCAGUGAGGUCGCUCUUGCUUGGCUCUGCCCAAGUGGCGUGUGGGAGCUUAGCUCUGUAUGGAGCCGUGAGGUAUAGUCCUCUUCCACAAUGUUGGAAAGAAAGUUUUCCCUCCCAGCUGAAAAAGCUGGUGCACGGGAAUCGUCCUGUAUAUUCCUACAACUUGUCAGCAUUUAUGGUUGCUGAUAAGACAAACCAUGCAGGACACAUUU
rnacentral:snoRNA from 1 species